AANUUUAUAUCUUGAACUGACGGCUCAUUAAAUCAUUAUAAUCUACUUGAUUGUAAAAUCUACAUGGAUAACUGUAGUAAUUCUAGAGCUAAUACAUGCAAAAAAUCCUGACUGUUAUGGAAAGGAUGUAUUUAUUAGGUACAAAAUCAAUGCUGGCACUUGUGUCAGGUUUAUUGAUGAUUCAUAAUAACUAAACGAAGCGCACGACCUUGCNUUGGCGCUGAUACAAACGAGUUUCUGCCCUAUCAACUUUCGAUGGUACUAUAGAGGACUACCAUGGUUUCCACGGGUAACGGGGAAUACCCAUCGCCGGCGCGGGGCGUGCGANUNGAGANGUUNUCAUGAAUCACCAUUGGAGCCCCGAAGGGCAUUGGUUUGNAUCCAUNUACAUCCCUUCCGAAGUCGGGAUUUCAGCNUGUNUAGGUCUAGAAACCACGGUUAUCCAUGUAGGGUCCUAUCAAAUAAUCGAUGACUNAUAAUGAGCCAUUGCAGUUNUCUUUGAUUGNUUAUACUGACAUGUGGNUUAAUCNUNGAGACAUGCAUNUGACUACA
rnacentral:rRNA from 1 species